rnacentral:rRNA from 1 species
GGGUUGUGAGGUUAAGCGACUAAGCGUACACGGUGGAUGCCCUGGCAGUCAGAGGCGAUGAAGGACGUGCUAAUCUGCGAUAAGCGCCGGUAAGGUGAUAUGAACCGUUAUAACCGGCGAUUUCCGAAUGGGGAAACCCAGUGUGACUCGUCACACUAUCAUUAACUGAAUCCAUAGGUUAAUGAGGCGAACCGGGGGAACUGAAACAUCUAAGUACCCCGAGGAAAAGAAAUCAACCGAGAUUCCCCCAGUAGCGGCGAGCGAACGGGGAGGAGCCCAGAGCCUGAAUCAGCAUGUGUGUUAGUGGAAGCGUCUGGAAAGGCGCGCGAUACAGGGUGACAGCCCCGUACACAAAAGCGCAUGUGCUGUGAGCUCGAUGAGUAGGGCGGGACACGUGGUAUCCUGUCUGAAUAUGGGGGGACCAUCCUCCAAGGCUAAAUACUCCUGACUGACCGAUAGUGAACCAGUACCGUGAGGGAAAGGCGAAAAGAACCCCGGCGAGGGGAGUGAAAAAGAACCUGAAACCGUGUACGUACAAGCAGUGGGAGCCCCACCACUAAGCCAGUGGUGAACUCCACAUACGCAUCCUUUGCUGAUGGCAAUGGUUAACGGAGCGAAAGCGACGUUCAACCGCAAAACAAGCAGAGGGGGCUUAGUGGUGGGGUGACUGCGUACCUUUUGUAUAAUGGGUCAGCGACUUAUAUUCUGUAGCAAGGUUAACCGUAUAGGGGAGCCGCAGGGAAACCGAGUCUUAACCGGGCGUUAAGUUGCAGGGUAUAGACCCGAAACCCGGUGAUCUAGCCAUGGGCAGGUUGAAGGUUGGGUAACACUAACUGGAGGACCGAACCGACUAAUGUUGAAAAAUUAGCGGAUGACCUGUGGCUGGGGGUGAAAGGCCAAUCAAACCGGGAGAUAGCUGGUUCUCCCCGAAAGCUAUUUAGGUAGCGCCUCGUGAAUUCAUCUCCGGGGGUAGAGCACUGUUUCGGCUAGGGGGCCAUCCCGGCUUACCAACCCGAUGCAAACUGCGAAUACCGGAGAAUGUUAUCACGGGAGACACACGGCGGGUGCUAACGUCCGUCGUGAAGAGGGAAACAACCCAGACCGCCAGCUAAGGUCCCAAAGUCAUGGUUAAGUGGGAAACGAUGUGGGAAGGCCCAGACAGCCAGGAUGUUGGCUUAGAAGCAGCCAUCAUUUAAAGAAAGCGUAAUAGCUCACUGGUCGAGUCGGCCUGCGCGGAAGAUGUAACGGGGCUAAACCAUGCACCGAAGCUGCGGCAGCGACACUGUGUGUUGUUGGGUAGGGGAGCGUUCUGUAAGCCUGCGAAGGUGGCCUGUGAGGGUUGCUGGAGGUAUCAGAAGUGCGAAUGCUGACAUAAGUAACGAUAAAGCGGGUGAAAAGCCCGCUCGCCGGAAGACCAAGGGUUCCUGUCCAACGUUAAUCGGGGCAGGGUGAGUCGACCCCUAAGGCGAGGCCGAAAGGCGUAGUCGAUGGGAAACGGGUUAAUAUUCCCGUACUUGGUGUUACUGCGAAGGGGGGACGGAGAAGGCUAUGUUGGCCGGGCGACGGUUGUCCCGGUUUAAGCGUGUAGGUGUGUGUUCCAGGUAAAUCCGGUUCACUUUAACACUGAGGCGUGACGACGAGGCACUACGGUGCUGAAGCAACAAAUGCCCUGCUUCCAGGAAAAGCCUCUAAGCAUCAGGUAACAUCAAAUCGUACCCCAAACCGACACAGGUGGUCAGGUAGAGAAUACCAAGGCGCUUGAGAGAACUCGGGUGAAGGAACUAGGCAAAAUGGUGCCGUAACUUCGGGAGAAGGCACGCUGACACGUAGGUGAAGUGAUUUACUCAUGGAGCUGAAGUCAGUCGAAGAUACCAGCUGGCUGCAACUGUUUAUUAAAAACACAGCACUGUGCAAACACGAAAGUGGACGUAUACGGUGUGACGCCUGCCCGGUGCCGGAAGGUUAAUUGAUGGGGUCAGCGCAAGCGAAGCUCCUGAUCGAAGCCCCGGUAAACGGCGGCCGUAACUAUAACGGUCCUAAGGUAGCGAAAUUCCUUGUCGGGUAAGUUCCGACCUGCACGAAUGGCGUAAUGAUGGCCAGGCUGUCUCCACCCGAGACUCAGUGAAAUUGAACUCGCUGUGAAGAUGCAGUGUACCCGCGGCAAGACGGAAAGACCCCGUGAACCUUUACUAUAGCUUGACACUGAACAUUGAGCCUUGAUGUGUAGGAUAGGUGGGAGGCUUUGAAGUGUGGACGCCAGUCUGCAUGGAGCCGACCUUGAAAUACCACCCUUUAAUGUUUGAUGUUCUAACGUGGACCCGUAAUCCGGGUUGCGGACAGUGUCUGGUGGGUAGUUUGACUGGGGCGGUCUCCUCCUAAAGAGUAACGGAGGAGCACGAAGGUUGGCUAAUCCUGGUCGGACAUCAGGAGGUUAGUGCAAUGGCAUAAGCCAGCUUGACUGCGAGCGUGACGGCGCGAGCAGGUGCGAAAGCAGGUCAUAGUGAUCCGGUGGUUCUGAAUGGAAGGGCCAUCGCUCAACGGAUAAAAGGUACUCCGGGGAUAACAGGCUGAUACCGCCCAAGAGUUCAUAUCGACGGCGGUGUUUGGCACCUCGAUGUCGGCUCAUCACAUCCUGGGGCUGAAGUAGGUCCCAAGGGUAUGGCUGUUCGCCAUUUAAAGUGGUACGCGAGCUGGGUUUAGAACGUCGUGAGACAGUUCGGUCCCUAUCUGCCGUGGGCGCUGGAGAACUGAGGGGGGCUGCUCCUAGUACGAGAGGACCGGAGUGGACGCAUCACUGGUGUUCGGGUUGUCAUGCCAAUGGCACUGCCCGGUAGCUAAAUGCGGAAGAGAUAAGUGCUGAAAGCAUCUAAGCACGAAACUUGCCCCGAGAUGAGUUCUCCCUGAGACUUAAAGUCUCCUGAAGGAACGUUGAAGACGACGACGUUGAUAGGCCGGGUGUGUAAGCGCAGCGAUGCGUUGAGCUAACCGGUACUAAUGAACCGUGAGGCUUAACCUUACAACGCCGAAG